ACAGCCACAUCACAUUGAAAUACUGGUUCCCAUAUGAUCACUGAAGUUAAGCAACAUUGAGUCUGGUUAGUACCUAGAUAGGUGACCGAUUAGGAAUACCAAGUACUGUAAG